UACGGAGGGUGCAAGCGUUUGUCCGGAUUUAUUGGGUUUAAAGGGUGCGUAGGCGGCUCUUUAAGUCAGUGGUGAAAUACUGCAGCUCAACUGUAGCAUUGCCAUUGAUACUGAAGAGCUUGAGUACAGAUGAGGUAGGCGGAAUUUAUGGUGUAGCGGUGAAAUGCAUAGAUACCAUAAAGAACACCGAUUGCGAAGGCAGCUUACUAAGCUGUAACUGACGCUGAGGCACGAAAGCGUGGGGAGCGAACAGG
rnacentral:rRNA from 1 species